rnacentral:rRNA from 1 species
GAGCACGCGCGUGUGGCAUAUCAAUAAGCGGAGGAAAAGAAACUAACAAGGAUUCCCUUAGUAACGGCGAGUGAAGCGGGAAGAGCUCAAAUUUGAAAUCUUCAAGGUUCUACCUUGACGAAUUGUAGUUUAUAGAAGUGUUUUCUGUUAGUAGGAGUGGUAAAAGUUCUUUGGAAUAGGACAUCAUAGAGGGUGAGAAUCCCGUAUUUGGUCAUUCCUUCCUAGCGUUGUGAUACACUUUCAACGAGUCGGAUUGUUUGGGAAUGCAGUCCAAAAUGGGUGGUAAAUUUCAUCUAAAGCUAAAUAUUGGCGAGAGACCGAUAGCGAACAAGUACCGUGAGGGAAAGAUGAAAAGAACUUUGAAAAGAGAGUUAAACAGUACGUGAAAUUGUCAAAAGGGAAGCGUUUGACACCAGUGUUGUUUUUCCGAAAAUCAAUUACGAAUGUUUUAGUUUUUCGAGAAGUUAUGACUUCAUCGGCUUGCUUCUCUCUUUAUGAAACUUUCUUAAUGCACUUUUCGGUUAACAAGUCAACAUCAAUUUCUUUUGUUGUAAAAGGGUAUGAGGAAGGUGGCUUUCUUUUCGGAGAAAGUGUUUAUAGCCUUGUGCCUCUGCAAUCGGAGAGAUUGAGGUCUGCAGCGUAGAUCCUUCGGGGUUAGAUACAUUUGUGCUAAGUUAUAGCUUUUCAUAGACAACUUGUUGACUAUGUUUAGUCUUGUAGCUUACUCGCUUAUGCUAUUUUACCUACGCUUAGGAUGUUGAUGUGAUACUGCGAGCA